rnacentral:lncRNA from 1 species
CUCCUCUUUGCUGUCUUCCUGCUGACCUACUCCGUGACUCUGGUGGGCAACCUGGGCAUGACAGAUCUGAUCUGCCAAUCUGCACCAGCUCUGCCCUCCACACCCCCAUGUGCUUCCUCCUGAGCGUAUUCUCCUUCCUAGACAUCUGCAGUUCCUCCAUGUGCACCCCAGGCUGCUGAUCCACUUUCUCACCACUAACCAUCCAUCUCCUUUGCAGGUGGUAUAAUCCAGAUGGCCCUCAUGACCUUCUAUGGCACAGGGGAAUGUCUGCUGCUGGCCAUCGUAGCCUAUGACUGAGUUGUGGCCAUUUGCCACCCUUUCCCCUAGCAUAUCAUCAUGUCCAAGGGGACUGUGUGCCCAGCUGGUGGUGGUUACCUCUGCUGUGGGGGUGCUCAUUUCAGCUCUAGACAGGAUGCAUUCAUCUCGCCCUACCGUGGCCUAACAUCAUUGAUCAUUACUAUGUUCUGUUACAUUCCCCACCCCCAUGCUCCAACUGGCCUGCUCAGAUGCCACUGUGGCCAACAUGAUCCUGUUUGUCUCUUCUGCCUUGAUCACUAUCCCUACCAUCUCAGUCAUCUUGGUCUCUUACACUUACAUCCUGGUUAAUCAGUGGGAUGAGGUCCCUGGAUGCCCAGUGCAAAGCUUUCUCCACUCGUGCCUCCCACCUCACUGCUCACUGCCUGUUUUAUGGGUUUGUGUUCCUUGUAUACAUUCCACCCAACCCUGAAAUGGCCUCAGCCUAUAACAAAAUCCUCUUCACCGUUGUGAUCCCCAUGCUGAACCUCCUGGUCUAAGGCCUGAGAAAUAAAGAUGUCAA